GUGGGGAAUCUUGGACAAUGGGCGCAAGCCUGAUCCAGCAAUGCCGCGUGGGUGAAGAAGGCCUUCGGGUUGUAAAGCCCUUUCGGCGGGGAAGAAAUCGGUCAGGCGAAUAGUCUGGCCGGAUGACGGUACCCGCAGAAGAAGCACCGGCUAACUACGUGCCAGCAGCCGCGGUAAUACGUAGGGUGCGAGCGUUAAUCGGAAUUACUGGGCGUAAAGGGUGCGCAGGCGGCCCUGUAAGACCGGUGUGAAAUCCCCGGGCUCAACCUGGGAAUUGCGCUGGUGACUGCAGGGCUAGAGUACGGUAGAGGGGGGUGGAAUUCCUGGUGUAGCAGUGAAAUGCGUAGAGAUCAGGAGGAACACCGAUGGCGAAGGCAGCCCCCUGGGCCUGUACUGACGCUCAUGCACGAAAGCGUGGGGAGCAAACAGGAUUAGAAACCCUAGUAGUCC
rnacentral:rRNA from 1 species